UAGUCCACGCCGUAAACGAUGAGUACUAGUUAUUGGAGGUAUUGACCCCUUCAGUGACGUAGCUAACGCAUUAAGUACUCCGCCUGGGAAGUACGGUCGCAAGACUAAAACUCAAAGGAAUUGACGGGGGCCCGCACAAGCGGUGGAUUAUGUGGUUUAAUUCGAAGCAACGCGCAGAACCUUACCAAGGCUUGAAAUCCUAGGAAUCCGACGUAAUGGUUGGAGUGCCCGCAAGGGAAUCUAGUGACAGGUGCUGCAUGGCUGUCGUCAGCUCGUGUUGUGAAAUGUUGGGUUAAGUCUCGCAACGAGCGCAACCCCUAUCUUUAGUUGCCAGCAUUAAGUUGGGCACUCUAGAGAGACUGCCCGGGUUAAACCGGAGGAAGGCGGGGAUGACGUCAAGUCCUCAUGGCCCUUACGGGUAGGGCUACACACGUACUACAAUGGCAGAAACAAACCGAAAGCGAUAUUGCGAGAUGGAGCUAAACGGUAAAACACUGUCUCAGUCCGGAUUGAAGUCUGCAA
rnacentral:rRNA from 1 species